rnacentral:lncRNA from 1 species
GCACCUUUUAUCUAACAAAUCAUGUAUCCUAAUGAGUGUCAUUCUCCAUGGAUUUAUAGACAAGGUAUAAAACAAAAACUAAUUGCCAAUAAGGACAAAUGCAGACUCAACUAUGAAUAACAAUAUUUGACAUAAUUUAAUAUUAUGCAUCUUACUUCAACCCUUGACAAUGAUUCUUCAAUUACUCCCUCUGUAAUAUCCUUGAACUUGGUAUUCAUUGGGAGGUGGUGGCGGACCAUCAAUCCUAUCUCUGACGACAACUUAGCUGAUU